rnacentral:rRNA from 1 species
CCUACGGGGGGCAGCAGGCGCGAAACCUUUACACUGCACGACAGUGCGAUAGGGGGAUCCCAAGUGCACAGGCAUAGCGCCUGUGCUUUUCGGUACCCUAAGGCGGUACCAGAAUAAGGGCUGGGCAAGACCGGUGCCAGCCGCCGCGGUAAUACCGGCAGCCCAAGUGAUGGCCGAUCUUAUUGGGCCUAAAGCGUCCGUAGCUGGCCGCGCAAGUCCAUCGGGAAAUCCACCUGCUCAACAGGUGGGCGCCCGGUAGAAACUGCGUGGCUUGGGACCGGAAGGCGCGACGGGUACGUCCGGGGUAGGAGUGAAAUCCCGUAAUCCUGGACGGACCGCCGAUGGCGAAAGCACGUCGCGAGAACGGAUCCGACAGUGAGGGACGAAAGCCAGGGUCUCGAACCGGAUUAGAUACCCCCGUAGUC